CAUAGGUUAAUGAGGCGAACCGGGGGAACUGAAACAUCUAAGUACCCCGAGGAAAAGAAAUCAACCGAGAUUCCCCCAGUAGCGGCGAGCGAACGGGGAGGAGCCCAGAGCCUGAAUCAGUGUGUGUGUUAGUGGAAGCGUCUGGAAAGGCGCGCGAUACAGGGUGACAGCCCCGUACACAAAAAUGCACAUAUUGUGAGCUCGAUGAGUAGGGCGGGACACGUGGUAUCCUGUCUGAAUAUGGGGGGACCAUCCUCCAAGGCUAAAUACUCCUGACUGACCGAUAGUGAACCAGUACCGUGAGGGAAAGGCGAAAAGAACCCCGGCGAGGGGAGUGAAAAAGAACCUGAAACCGUGUACGUACAAGCAGUGGGAGCCUCUUUAUGGGGUGACUGCGUACCUUUUGUAUAAUGGGUCAGCGACUUAUAUUCUGUAGCAAGGUUAACCGAAUAGGGGAGCCGAAGGGAAACCGAGUCUUAACUGGGCGUUAAGUUGCAGGGUAUAGACCCGAAACCCGGUGAUCUAGCCAUGGGCAGGUUGAAGGUUGGGUAACACUAACUGGAGGACCGAACCGACUAAUGUUGAAAAAUUAGCGGAUGACUUGUGGCUGGGGGUGAAAGGCCAAUCAAACCGGGAGAUAGCUGGUUCUCCCCGAAAGCUAUUUAGGUAGCGCCUCGUGAAUUCAUCUCCGGGGGUAGAGCACUGUUUCGGCAAGGGGGUCAUCCCGACUUACCAACCCGAUGCAAACUGCGAAUACCGGAGAAUGUUAUCACGGGAGACACACGGCGGGUGCUAACGUCCGUCGUGAAGAGGGAAACAACCCAGACCGCCAGCUAAGGUCCCAAAGUCAUGGUUAAGUGGGAAACGAUGUGGGAAGGCCCAGACAGCCAGGAUGUUGGCUUAGAAGCAGCCAUCAUUUAAAGAAAGCGUAAUAGCUCACUGGUCGAGUCGGCCUGCGCGGAAGAUGUAACGGGGCUAAACCAUGCACCGAAGCUGCGGCAGCGACACUAUGUGUUGUUGGGUAGGGGAGCGUUCUGUAAGCCUGUGAAGGUGGCCUGUGAGGGUUGCUGGAGGUAUCAGAAGUGCGAAUGCUGACAUAAGUAACGAUAAAGCGGGUGAAAAGCCCGCUCGCCGGAAGACCAAGGGUUCCUGUCCAACGUUAAUCGGGGCAGGGUGAGUCGACCCCUAAGGCGAGGCCGAAAGGCGUAGUCGAUGGGAAACAGGUUAAUAUUCCUGUACUUGGUGUUACUGCGAAGGGGGGACGGAGAAGGCUAUGUUGGCCGGGCGACGGUUGUCCCGGUUUAAGCGUGUAGGCUGGUUUUCCAGGCAAAUCCGGAAAACCAAGGCUGAGGCGUGAUGACGAGGCACUACGGUGCUGAAGCGACAAAUGCCCUGCUUCCAGGAAAAGCCUCUAAGCAUCAGGUAACAUCAAAUCGUACCCCAAACCGACACAGGUGGUCAGGUAG
rnacentral:rRNA from 1 species